UGGGGAAUAUUGCACAAUGGGCGAAAGCCUGAUGCAGCAACGCCGCGUGAGUGAUGAAGGUCUUCGGAUUGUAAAGCUCUGUCUUUUGGGACGAUAAUGACGGUACCAAAGGAGGAAGCCACGGCUAACUACGUGCCAGCAGCCGCGGUAAUACGUAGGUGGCGAGCGUUGUCCGGAUUUACUGGGCGUAAAGGGUGCGUAGGCGGAUGUUUAAGUGAGAUGUGAGAUACCCGGGCUUAACUUGGGUGCUGCAUUUCAAACUGGAUAUCUAGAGUGCAGGAGAGGAGAAUGGAAUUCCUAGUGUAGCGGUGAAAUGCGUAGAGAUUAGGAAGAACACCAGUGGCGAAGGCGAUUCUCUGGACUGUAGCUGACGCUGAGGCACGAAAGCGUGGGUAGCAAACAGGAUUAGAUACCCUGGUAGUCCACGCCGUAAACGAUGAGUACUAGGUGUAGGAGGUAUCGACCCCUUCUGUGCCGCAGUAAACACAUUAAGUACUCCGCCUGGGAAGUACGAUCGCAAGAUUAAAACUCUAAAGUGAAUUGACGGGGUC
rnacentral:rRNA from 1 species